rnacentral:lncRNA from 1 species
CGAAAACGAAAUACCCGUCGCCUUGUCGACCCGGACUCGGAAGGCCCCUACGCGGCUACGCAGAAGCAACGCGCCAGCCGUGUCGUCGCCGACUUCCUCUCCUCCCCACACACGUCUAUUUAAGGCUACCUCCCCACCCAUCCUCGCCUUUAACUUCAAACCAAACCAAGAGCAAAGCGUCGCCGCAAACACUCCAUCCCGUAAAACACACACGCGCCAUCCAGCUCAAUCAAAGCCACCGCCCACCGACCGGAGAAGGGAGGAAAAAAAUAUCUUCUCUUCUCUCCAUCGGAUCGGGAUCCUUGACUCCUCGUGCUGCCGAUCGAUUGAUCGAGAGGGGGAGAUCGUGGUGUGUGGGGGGUGACGAGAUUUUGCCGGUUUGGAGCCAAUUAGGGGUAUGAGCUGUUUUGCGCACCGCCGCUGCUCCGACGCCGCCCGCCGCCAGGACGGCCUCCUCGUCUUCGUCUUCUUCC